CAAUAGCGUAUAUUAAAGUUGUUGCAGUUAAAAAGCUCGUAGUUGGAUUUCGGGGCAGCCUGGCUGGUCCGCCGCAAGGCGAGUACUGGUCAGCCACCCUUCCUCUCGAAAGCCCCGACUGCUCUUCGUUGCAGUGGUCGGGUAGUUCGGGACGUUUACUUUGAAAAAAUUAGAGUGUUCAAGGCAGGCCUACGCCUGAAUACAUUAGCAUGGAAUAAUGGAAGAGGACCUCGGUCCUAUUUUGUUGGUUUCCAGGGCCGAAGUAAUGAUUAAGAGGGACAGUUGGGGGCAUUCGUAUUUAAUUGUCAGAGGUGAAAUUCUCGGAUUUAUGAAAGACGAACAACUGCGAAAGCAUUUGCCAAGGAUGUUUUCAUUAA
rnacentral:rRNA from 1 species